rnacentral:rRNA from 1 species
UUUAUGGAGAGUUUGAUCCUGGCUCAGGAUGAACGCUGGCGGCGUGCCUAAUACAUGCAAGUCGAGCGAACGGACGAGAAGCUUGCUUCUCUGAUGUUAGCGGCGGACGGGUGAGUAACACGUGGAUAACCUACCUAUAAGACUGGGAUAACUUCGGGAAACCGGAGCUAAUACCGGAUAAUAUUUUGAACCGCAUGGUUCAAAAGUGAAAGACGGUCUUGCUGUCACUUAUAGAUGGAUCCGCGCUGCAUUAGCUAGUUGGUAAGGUAACGGCUUACCAAGGCAACGAUGCAUAGCCGACCUGAGAGGGUGAUCGGCCACACUGGAACUGAGACACGGUCCAGACUCCUACGGGAGGCAGCAGUAGGGAAUCUUCCGCAAUGGGCGAAAGCCUGACGGAGCAACGCCGCGUGAGUGAUGAAGGUCUUCGGAUCGUAAAACUCUGUUAUUAGGGAAGAACAUAUGUGUAAGUAACUGUGCACAUCUUGACGGUACCUAAUCAGAAAGCCACGGCUAACUACGUGCCAGCAGCCGCGGUAAUACGUAGGUGGCAAGCGUUAUCCGGAAUUAUUGGGCGUAAAGCGCGCGUAGGCGGUUUUUUAAGUCUGAUGUGAAAGCCCACGGCUCAACCGUGGAGGGUCAUUGGAAACUGGAAAACUUGAGUGCAGAAGAGGAAAGUGGAAUUCCAUGUGUAGCGGUGAAAUGCGCAGAGAUAUGGAGGAACACCAGUGGCGAAGGCGACUUUCUGGUCUGUAACUGACGCUGAUGUGCGAAAGCGUGGGGAUCAAACAGGAUUAGAUACCCUGGUAGUCCACGCCGUAAACGAUGAGUGCUAAGUGUUAGGGGGUUUCCGCCCCUUAGUGCUG